rnacentral:rRNA from 1 species
UACGUAGGGGGCGAGCGUUGUCCGAAGUUACUGGGCGUAAAGCGCGCGUAGGCGGCUUCUUAAGUCUGGGGUGAAAGGUUCAACGCUCAACGUGAACAGUGCCUUGGAUACUGGGAAGCUUGAGUUCGGGAGGGGGCAGUGGAAUUCCAGGUGUAGCGGUGAAAUGCGUAGAUAUCUGGAGGAACACCGAUGGCGAAGGCAGCUGCCUGGCCUAGAACUGACGCUGAGGUGCGAAAGCGUGGGGAGCGAACGGG